rnacentral:rRNA from 1 species
AUUGAACGCUGGCGGCAGGCCUAACACAUGCAAGUCGAGCUGAACGUCGGACUGGUAAGUAAUGACGAGUAAUCAACAUGGUAGUGGGGGACACCGUCCGGAAACGGGCGCUAAUACCGCAUACUAUCAAUACACUCUUGGUUGGAUUAGCUAGUUGGUGGGGUAAUGGACUACCAAGGUGACGAUCUGUAAAUGGGCUGAGAGGAUGAUCAGUCACACUGGAACUGAGACACGGUCCAGACUCCUACGGGAGGCAGCAGUGGGGAAUAUUGGACAAUGGGCGAAAGCCUGAUCCAGCCAUGCCGCGUGUGUGAAGAAGGUCUUCGGAUUGUAAAGCACUUUAAGUUGGGAGGCGUUACCAACAGAAUAAGCACCGGCUAACUGCGUGCCAGCAGCCGCGGUAAUAC